rnacentral:rRNA from 1 species
UACGUAGGGUGCGAGCGUUAAUCGGAAUUACUGGGCGUAAAGCGUGCGCAGGCGGUUUUGUAAGACAGAUGUGAAAUCCCCGGGCUCAACCCGGGAACUGCGUCCGAUACUGGAAGGCUUGAAUCCGGGAGAGGGAUGCGGAAUUCCAGGUGUAGCGGUGAAAUGCGUAGAUAUCUGGAGGAACACCGGUGGCGAAGGCGGCAUCCUGGACCGGUAUUGACGCUGAGGCGCGAAAGCCAGGGGAGCAAACGGG